AGAAUGCAGGGAGUCAAAAGGUGCCUGCAGGGUCUUAAGUGAGCACCUAGGGAACAGAUUGGGAGACCUAGAAGGGAAAUAAAGAGGUGAGGAAGGAAAUGGUGUAGGGAAAACUGCAAUAUGGGUAGAGGAUUUGAUGUAGCUGUGCAGUACAGGGCCUUGGGCUGUAACCCAGAAUUGAGGUGGGGACUGGAUUCCCGUACCAGCCCCAAGGAAGCAGUGUACAAGGGUAGCUGAGCCCAGUGAGGGGGCUGCAGGCUGAAUGUGACCUCGCUGAAGAGGAGCUGUAGAGAGGGUGGAAGCUUUUUAUUUCUGUUAAGAUAGUUCUGAACACUAGUGCGGAUAGCUGACCCUGGAAGGAAUGGGCUAAAGACUGGGCCCUGGCUGGCGGGAUGAGUUCUCUGAAGGAAACCACCUCAGCCCCAGAGUGACUGUUGACAAGGGCUGCUACCCCACAAGGACACUGUGAUGCCAUGCCUGGCCAUGAGGAAGUGCAUAGUGGUUCUGUUACAAAUAUGGACUGGGAUAUAGGGAAGGUGGACCAUUUCAAUAUUUUGUUUAUGGAACUGCUUGCUCUGAGGUUGAAAUUGACCAUCUUACAGGAGACAAUAAGUCUGGACCUUGGUUAUGCCUUGACAAAGAAAUUUGGACCUUGACAAGAAAUAAUCGACUACCUUUGGUCUGGAGAAUAAAUUCACAAAGAUUUUUGAGCUGGUGCUGAACAGGGGAGAAUGUACUUAGUUAUAUUACAGCAACAAAUUCAGAAGAUUAUGAAUCAAGAAUACUACUUUUUCAAUAUAAUAUUGCACUGGUACUACAAAACAUACAAAAAUUAAUGAAUAUUUUCUUUACCUAUGUCAGUAUAUUGCUGCAGUCAUGUUUUAAUUCAUCUAUUGAUUAGACCAUUAAAUUUACUGAAAGUCCAAGAGAAACAGUACUUGUUUAAUAUUAAUUUGUCCAUGUGAUCCAGAAAGCAUGUACUAUGUAUGAUGUAUUAAAAUGUUCUGCACUUGCCAUACUGUUCUUUCCUAACCUAUCUGGUGAAUGAAAAUAUCAGUAAGUGCUGUUUCCAGUGUCACAACAUAAUUUAUUGUGCCUAAAACUAUUUGUAACCAUUUGUUGUGGAUAUUUAUGGUUGUGGUUAUUGUUGUGGAUAUUUUAUAUAGUUAAAUGUUGUUGUAUUAUAAUAAUCUAAGUAGUUUGUUUUUUUUUUAUUUCCAAAGUACCUUCAAUCCUUCCUGUCUUUCUCCCCACCCAAAAAAAACCUCCCAAACACAUUUUGUUAUCCUUCUAUAAUUAAUUCCAAAGUACUUAAUCUACUGUUUUCAGUUGCAUAUUUCUAACCUAGGGCAAUAAAACUACUUUUCUUAACUUUCAGUGUUGCAGUAUUAAAGGAAUCAAAUACAGUGAAGGAAGUGUUUUUGAAUUAUUGUAAUUUGUUUUGCAAGUUCUUCUGCUCUAUAGUUAUCCUGCAGCUUUUUUCACUGAGCUGGUGCUGAACAGGGGAGAAUGUACUUAGUUAAAUUCACCCAAAACAAUUUAGAGCAACAAAUUCAGAAGAUUAUGAAUUUGUAAUUAUGACAAAAGGAAAAAAUACUUGAUGUGUAGUCAUUGAGCGUCUAUACUAGUCACCUCUCAAUAAUAUAGCAUCUCUCA